AUAUCAAUAAGCGGAGGAAAAGAAACCAACAGGGAUUGCCUUAGUAGCGGCGAGUGAAGCGGCAAUAGCUCAAAUUUGAAAUCUGGCGUCUUCGACGUCCGAGUUGUAAUUUGAAGAAGGUAUCUUUGGAAUUGGCUCUUGUCUAUGUUCCUUGGAACAGGACGUCACAGAGGGUGAGAAUCCCGUGCGAUGAGAUGCCCAAUUCCGUGUAAAGUUCCUUCGACGAGUCGAGUUGUUUGGGAAUGCAGCUCUAAGUGGGUGGUAAAUUCCAUCUAAAGCUAAAUAUUGGCGAGAGACCGAUAGCGAACAAGUACUGUGAAGGAAAGAUGAAAAGAACUUUGAAAAGAGAGUGAAAAAGUACGUGAAAUUGUUGAAAGGGAAGGGCUUGAGGUCAGACUUGGUUUUACCAGGCCAGCAUCAGUUUGGACGGCAGGAUAAUAGCUAAGAAAUGUGACUCCACUUCGGUGGUGUGUUAUAGUCUUGGUUGAUACUGCCUGUCUAGACUGAGGACUGCGUCUUUGACUAGGAUGCUGG
rnacentral:rRNA from 1 species